AGGUGGGGGGGGCGGUGGAGGGUGGGGGGGGGCCCAGGCAGGAAUGACUGCCUACCUUUGCUGCCUUUUCCAGGGUGAUGCUCUGACUAAUGAGCAGAGGCCACUAAUGAAGAGCGAGGCUGGGUCUCUCCUUUUCCAGAGACUGAGCCCAUUACCCUCUGGGUCCUCACUAGCCUGCGGGCACCCAGCCUGCUCCCCCAACGGAUGACUUCUGGCUCACUGUGCCGCUCGCAGUCCCGGUGCCAGUGGCCGGGAAUAACCUUGCUUUUGGCAGAAAUCCAGCCAGCGCAGCACACACGAGCCUCCUGCUGUCCUGCCGGCCGGCCUGUGACACGAGGGCUGGGUCAUGACCCCGCAAGGUACACCCUUCCCACCCUCACCGUGUGCGGGGAAGCUGUCACUUGUCACCGCGGGCACCCCUUCUGCAGGAGACCUGGGUGGAAACGAGGGACCGUCCGGGAGGCUUGCUAGCUAAUAUUCUUUUUAAAUUCUUGUUUCCCUUUAGUGAUAGAUAUAUGUGUGCACGCACAUAUACACACACAUAUAUUUAUUUGGGCUGACAAUUCUUAUUUUUAAAAAUACAUAAAAUUCCCACCUUCAUGCACAUGGAUAAUUUCCAUCAGCCAGUAAGUUGAAUAACGCUAAGCAAAAAGUGUGGUCCUGUGGCUCAUUUAAAAAGACCGGUUAGAAGGAGCCAGAAAAAUUCACACUCCCGAGAAUUUCACUAAACUCCAGAUUUCAACCACCUUCCCCAGAUUUCCCUGAAUCACCACCUUUCCCACCAGGCUGACCUUUUCCCACUGUGUCACCCUGUCCCCCUCGCCCCGUGACAAUGCUGUUUUCUGAUGCCCGUUUUCACGUUUGGUCCAGGUAUUUAGGAUUCUACAAUGGUCGCACUGUAAUCAUUAGGCUUCUGAUUCCAGUAAGUAAGUAAGUAAGUUAUUUAUUUAUUUAUUUAUUUAUUUAUUUAUUUAUUUAUUUAUUUAUAAGAUUUAAUUUAUUCAUGAGAGACAGAGGGAAAGAGAGAGACAGACAGACACAGGCAGAGGGGGAAGCAGGCUCCAUGCAGGGAGCCUGACGUGGGACUUGAUCCCCAGACUCCAGGAUCACACCCUGGGCUGAAGGUGGUGCUAAACUGCUGAGCCACCCGGGCUGCCCCCGGUAAGUAAUUUAAAAACUCAGAUGAAAAAUGACGUGUUCCUCAUCGAGCAGUAUUUGGAAGAUACACUUAUUAAAUAGACGACUUUGUAUAAUUUCAACCUGUUCUUCAUGUCCCAUCCUCCCCCAGCCCAAAAAUAUAUUAAAAGCUGGUUUUAAAAUGAAAUCAGAUUUCUGAUCUUUGACUAAACAAAGAUCUUAGUCUUUUUGGUUUAAAAAUGGGCUGUUACUCUGAUCCCUCACCCAUGGAGAGUUUGCAAUACAAUGAUUUCAGAAAUACUUUAUUUAAAAUAAUCUCCGAGGGGCUGCCCGA
rnacentral:lncRNA from 12 species